rnacentral:sRNA from 1 species
GGUGCCGAACGUUCGCUGAGGCUCCUCCACGGAAACAGGCCAGCGACCCCGAACGUCGAGAGACGCCCCGGGUCAGGACAGGUCUCCCCGGCUUAAGGGGUGAUCCCGACUGGCUCCCGCUCGGGUUCACGCCGUGGAGUGCCAAAGGUCUUACGAGGAGUGGCGCU